rnacentral:tRNA from 1 species
AGCCCCGUAGUGGAGUGACCACGUUGGAUUGCAAAUCCAGAGACGCAAAUUAAGACCUGCCGGGGCUU